rnacentral:lncRNA from 1 species
GUGUUUCUCGGCCAAGGAAUGAAAGUGUAAGUGUAUGGAAUUGUGAGAUGUGAAUGUAGUGUCUUUUGAUGGAACUUUUCUCCCUUUUCUUUGUUAUGGUGAAGGGUGGAUGUAUUUAUAGGCUAGGGAGAGGACCACCAUCUAAUUAAGAUGGUAGUGGUGUAUGUUGUGGUAAUGAGUGGAUGUAAUGGGUGUAGUGGGUAAGUGUUGUGGUAAUGAGUGGAUGUAAUGGGUGUAGUGGGUGAGUGUUUGGUAAUAAGUGGAUGUAAUGGGAGUAGUGGAUGGAUGUGAAGGAAGAUUUUGUGAAAACAUGUUCAUUUGAGCAACAUCUAUAAGCAUGCAAUUAACAAUUAAAGGUGGAAUCAUGCUAGCAUGCACUCAAAAACAAAACAUUACCCAUGAAAUUCAAAGCCUAGUAGAUUGGUGAACCAAGAAUCAACUCAAAACAAAGUGAGUGGAGAUUUAUACCUUUGUAGAUUCCUCUUUGCAUAAGCAAAGGCUAAUCACCCAAAGAGAGGGCCUUCAUUCCUUGCAUAUUAGAUCUAUGGAUUUGGAUGGAAGAAUAGAUUCUCCAAGUUCCCAAAAUAGAGAACCUCUAAGUCUCUACACCAAGGAUAGAUUGGAGAAGAAAUGAGUGACCUUGGAGGAGUUGGAUUGCUAGCUAAUCCCUCCAAGGGGGCCGGCCUCCUAUAGAGAAAAGGAGAGACAUGUUCUCUCCAAUUUUCUCCAAAAGAACCCUUUAUGAAUUUAGGCUAUAAAGUCCUUUAUAUAGUCCCUUCAAAUAAGUGACCUAAAGAACCAAAAAGCCAUUCU